GGAAUGAAUCCAAACACCGAGCCUCCUGCCUCUGGUCUGUAACAAUUCACUAGAACGGCCCUGGCCGCUGGCCACCGCGCGGACCACCACGUGCUCUCUCUCUGCCGCCGCAUCGCCACCGAGCUCCCGUUCCUGUUUAAUUGUUAUUGUUCUUGCGAUUUGCGAUGGGACAUCGGCAGUCCACAAGUGUGCGCCCGCAUAUCUCAACAGUGCAUGCAUCUGCCAAUCAACACUAUUCUCGCUAGUGUAUUGCGGAAUUCAUUCAGAAAGUGGAAAACCGCCAUUUACAGUGCGACCUAGCUCUAGCUUUGUGACGGUCUUAUACAGGGUGCCGCACAAUAUUCUGUGUCUGUUAUGCCAUCAAAAUGGUUCGCAACCAUGUCGGCCAUAUUUUCCACACUGUCGACGAGAUGGACUAAGAGGAAUUACUAAGAAAGUGUUUCGAACUCAUUUGAAAUCAUCAGAAAGAAGGACUUCAAAAAUCAUAAAAGGAGAGCAAUAUUCGAAGAUGAAUAUUCCUAGUACCUAGGCGUUAAAUAUUAAAUCGUCUGGGGCUAGGAGUAUAUUUUUGCAUUGCUCCCAUCAACCACAAUAUAAACUGGUAUAUGAAAACUCUGUCAUAGACUACUUUCCCAGAAACAAUAAUCAACACAAACUGAUGCCACACUUAUUUAUUUACAGACUGUUUCUGAACUUUUAAAUAAACUUUUCUUUCUUUUAA